rnacentral:rRNA from 1 species
CUGGGAAUUGCACUCAAAACUGUACGGCUAGAGUGUGGGAGAGGAAGGUAGAAUUCCAGGUGUAGCGGUGAAAUGCGUAGAUAUCUGGAGGAAUACCGAUGGCGAAGGCAGCCUUCUGGCCUAACACUGACGCUGAGGUGCGAAAGCAUGGGGAGCAAACAGGAUUAGAUACCCUGGUAGUCCAUGCUGUAAACGAUGUCAACUAGCUGUUGGACUUAUAAAUUAAGUUAAGUGGCGCAGCAAACGCGAUAAGUUGACCGCCUGGGGAGUACGGUCGCAAGAUUAAAACUCAAAGGAAUUGACGGGGGCCCGCACAAGCGGUGGAGCAUGUGGUUUAAUUCGAUGCAACGCGAAGAACCUUACCUACCCUUGACAUACAGCGAAUUUCUCAGAGAUGGGAGAGUGCCUUCGGGAACGCUGAUACAGGUGCUGCAUGGCUGUCGUCAGCUCGUGUUGUGAGAUGUUGGGUUAAGUCCCGUAACGAGCGCAACCCUUGUUCUUAGUUACCAGCGCGUAAAGGCGGGGACUCUAAGGAGACUGCCGGUGACAAACCGGAGGAAGGCGGGGACGACGUCAAGUCAUCAUGGCCCUUACGGGUAGGGCUACACACGUGCUACAAUGGCUGGUACAGAGGGAAGCGAAGUGGCGACACGGAGCGGAUCUUUUAAAGCCAGUCGUAGUCCGGAUUGGAGUCUGCAACU